ACGUGUCAUAAUCUCCCCUUACUAUUGGAAUGGGGACAAUGGGCAUCUCCUUUACCUGCUUCAGGUAUACCUGAAGAGACUUCAGUUAGUAAAACCUUCCUUGCAUCUCUGCAUUGCUCCAUCUGCCCCUCCCCACUGAAGGAGGAAUCAACUGUCUGGCAAAUCUGGAAACAGGAACAGCCACCAAAGCAAACCUCACCUCAUUCUUGUUGGGAUAUGCCUGUGUCUGAUCUCCGCUCCACCAUGGGUUACAGGACUUUCCCCCUGAGAAGGAGACCUGCUAUUUCAGAGAGACAACUUUACUAGACAGGUUUCCCAAGUGAUGCAACCUGACGAGUUCUCCAAUCUGUAGAUGCCACUCAUCUUUACUGCAAUUAACUGCGGUCAAGGUACCAGGCUCAUGAAAUGAGAAAAGUCCUUUUUGUGAUCACUUCUGCCAUUAGGGGGAGGCACUUUGGGGAAGGGACAUGUUACUUCAGGAAUUUUCAAUUGAACACGAUUCAUCAAUUUCACACAGAGACAUCAAGUCCAGGAAGAGAAGCUAACAAAUAAUCUUGCACUCAAGGAACUUAUCUUUGUCAACUCUGUGGUCCAAUUUCUCAUAGAUCUUAAUCAGCAGAAGGCCUUUAAUAAGUGAUUUGUGAAUGAAUGGAAAGUCUGGAUGAAGAAAUAUAUGCUGGAAUCAGUGGCUUUCGCAAGAGGAAGGUGCCAGUGUAUUAAGUACGAGGGAACUGUCUUUGGCAGAAGGCCAAUCCUUUGGGAAUGAGGUCUUCUUAAUGAAAAAUUCUGCAAACCUGUUUCAAUUCACACAUUCAUUCAACAAAUAGUUAUUGGGUGCCCUUUAAUGUUCUCAGGUCACCUUCCCAAAAUAACUGCAAUGAAAAUGUUUUCCACUUUUUCCUCUUCAUCUAGAAAGAUCUAUUUUAAACGAUGGGAUUGUGGAUUUGAGCACUGCUUUUUGAACACAGUCACGAAUCCAGGCAUUUGGUCCAGGCAGUGCCGGGAGGAGAAUGGGUAAUGAUUUUAACAGAGCCUGCUGCAAACGCCUACUCGUUCUUCCACAAGCAACUAAUCUUAGGUCUCAGCAAUGCAAUAUCCCAGUGAAUAGAGGGAUGAAAUGGACUAAGAGGUGAAAUGCUGCCAACAACAGAAGCCAGAAGUACCUCACUCUUCAAGGAUCUCUCACUGGUGUCAGCUUGGGUCAGAAUGGUGUUGCAGUGGGCUGGUGCUGGGUGCUACUCUGACCUCUUUGCCAGGGACCAGGAUGAGAGCUGGUGCUGAUAGCUCUUAACGUAAUGCCUGGGCAAUUUCCUUUUGAAUAGAAAAGGAAAUGGUGAAAUGCUCUCAUAUGUGCUUUUAGUAAUGAUGUGCAGAGAAUUUUAAACAAGACUGUAAAGGUUUAACUUUAAUAAUUCAUCAAUCAAGACACCAACUACAUGCUUGGCAGUAGGUAAAGACCCAAGCGAAAUCAACACAGGACCCUGUCUUUAAAAGCUUUAUAUUUUUACUGAUGGUUACCAAAGAAAAUGAUCAAUGGAUAAAAAGAAUCCAGAACAGAAAAAUGGUAUCAGUAUUGACGAGCAGAAGAGUAUAGCAGACAGCAAGGCAGACUGUGGAGGAAAGUGGCUGAGUAGCCUGGGUUCAAAUCUCAGCUCCAGCACUUAAUAACAAAAUAGACCGAGGCAGUUUAUUUAACCUUUGUGCAAUUUUCUCAUUUAAACUAUGAGAAUAAUAUGAGUACUUCAAAUCAGAUCAGAUGAAGUGUUUAGAAAUGUGAGUAGCAUGUGGUUAGGAAUGACUGUUAGCUAUUAUUAGGGCAAUUGAGAUGUAGAGGGAUAUUAUUUUGGUUGAUUAUUUUUUUCUCAUCAAAUAGUCUUCCUGUAUCAUUAUCUUCCUGUUAGAAUUUGGUUGAUCUGAGGAACUUUACUGAGGUAACAUAAUCUGUUAUGGUACAUCAAGACCACUGGUCUGGAAUUCUGGCAGCAGGGACUCACUAUCUCCAUGGCCUCCAGAUAGAUGAAGGGUUGUGCCGAUGCUUAGCUCUCUCCUGGGAUCACAAAUUGUUCUUUUGAGAAAGGAAGAAAGAAAGAAAGAAAGAAAGAAAGAAAGAAAGAAAGGGAAAGGGUUUCUUUAAUGAAGGGCUAAAACCUUCAUUAUGCACCUCCUUCUAUCCUCUUCAACCAAAAUGGCCUCUCUUCUCUCCACUGAUCUAAAUUCUGUAUGUCUCAGAAUCCAGGGGUCUAUGCAGGAUCUAUAUUUAGGGAUGAGGUGGAAAAAAGGAGUGAAUUUUUGAGUCAUGAAUUAUCUCAGUGAAUCUCUAUAUGCCCUAACCCUUCUGAGAGUUUUAGUUAGAAGUGAAAAUCUGGUCCAUUCAGAGCAUACAGCCUCUCUAUGUCCCAAAGAUUCUUUCUGAUGAUAGAUUUAUCACUGGUUCAUCUUCCUCAUUGGCCAGAUCAGCCUCAAGAGGAAUUGUUAAUGAAGGCUGUCUGUGUCCCUGAUCUAGUCCUGCCUAUCACCUACUUCUUUGUCUUCGGACUUUUGAUUAUUCACCAACUUAUGUGACCAAGGCUUGCUCACCUGACGCAGUUCACUCAUACUGAUGAUGGCCACCACAUCCCAGUGUCUAUUGUCUUAUUUGUUAGCAUCAUUGGUCAGGACGACUCCAUCCUUCAUGUAAACCCUUCAUAGUAUACCAGUGCACUGUCUCCUCUGUUUGACCUGCUGCUUGAAGGUCAGUGGAAUAAUCUCUCUUUAGAUUUCUCUGACUUCAUUUAACAACUCAUCUGAUAAGGUUGGGACAAUCUCCCCUUUGGUUGACUCAAAGCCAAUUGAUUGGGGACCUUAAUUACAUCUUCAAAAUCCCUUGAACUUUGCCAUGUAAAGUAUGCUACUCAUGGGAGUGAUAAACCUUCAUACUCACACAUCCUGCCCAUAUUCAAAGGGAAAGGAUUAUACAGGGCAGGAAUCUUGGGGGCCAUUUGAGAUUUCUGCUUACAACAGUUUGGAAAGAUCUUUAAACAAGUAUGAAGAUCCAGCACAUUUUUCCAUUUCAUUCUCAUGAAUACUUUUUUUCAGUUUUUCACUUAACCAUGCAAAUUAUAGUAGGCCUGGCAUGUGGACUAAAUUAAAGCCUAGUUUGCACUGUUGCCAACCACAGCCAUAAAAUGGAGUCUAGUCUGGGACGCAGGAGAUUUAUGUUUUAGUCACAUCCCUACACACUGAGAUGUAGAGUAUUCUCAGGGAAUAGGCUAUAUCUCACUGAAUUUCCAUUUCUUCCUACUUGUUGGACACACUAUUACCAGUUAUUCUUCCAGCUCUUAGGUUCUUUGGUUCAAUAAUCUCUAUGUCCUGAGGUAUAACUGUUUGAUGACAAAUCCAUGAUGAAAAGUAGAGUAAGUGGGAGAGGGUAAGAUGAGCCAAAGACCAUCAAAGAUAAGAGAAACGAAUAGAAGAUGAAAAGCCUGGAGUCAACUCCUCAGCAUUGUCCAGAAAAGGCAGGCUCUGCUUAGGCUUUAGGAACCUGGGUCCUCCCCAGAAAGGUCUUGUGAACAUCUCAGGAAGCCAGGGGAAUAUAUAUGUACUCCCAGGCCACAGACUUGCCCUUUAAGCCUGAAGCCAAAACAACAUUUUUCCUGCUGGUAUCUGAACUGAGAAUGUGAAUGUUAGCUUUGCCAUUUUCAUGGUUAAAUGGUUUUAUGCUGGGAACUUUGAAGCUAGAGGUUUGCAUAAAUCAAAUUUAAAGACAGAUUAGAUAUCCCCAACUCCCAUAUGUACAAACCUCAAUCUUCAAUUUUCAAAGGGCAGUAAAAUUUCUUAAUCAGCCCACAUAUCUCCAUGGUUGGAACAGUUCCCACAAAUAUGACAGCAAGAGUUUUCUAUCAAAGCUGAAUCUGUCUGGGGGACGAUCAGUUUGCAGGCUUUCCUUCAAGUGUGGCCAAGCUUCAGUUAGGAUAAAUGGCAGGGGUUGGCCCUGGGAUGGGUGGCCGUGUGAUACAAGGGUAAUUGAAUAUGGCUGCUCCAAGCCUGAGAUGGAUUUAACAGACUAAGAGCUCUUGAGACAGCAAACCUGACUCAGAAGUUGGCUGUGACUUUAUGAGCCCUGGAACUUAUUAACUGACCAGUUUUUCCCUCUAUAAAAUAAGGGAUAAUUAUAACUACAAAUUGCAUGGCCUUGCAGUCAUGGGGUCACUAUUGCCCAAGGCUCACCCUCAGCCCUGCAUGUUCUAAUUACUCACUAGGGUUGCCAUGUUCUUGAAUAACCACUGAGGUCAAUAAAGUAAAAGUUAGUAAUCAUUGAA